UACAGAGGUCUCAAGCGUUGUUCGGAUUCAUUGGGCGUAAAGGGUGCGUAGGUGGCGGGGUUAGUCAGGUGUGAAAUCUCGGAGCUCAACUCCGAAACUGCACUUGAUACUGCCUUGCUAGAGUACUGGAGAGGAGAUUGGAAUUACGGUGUAGCAGUGAAAUGCGUAGAUAUCGUAAGGAAGACCAGUGGCGAAGGCGAAUCUCUGGACAGUUACUGACACUGAGGCACGAAGGCCAGGGGAGCAAACGGG
rnacentral:rRNA from 1 species